UCGGAGUUCAAUUCCGGCGCCGAUCUGUUUGGAGUCUCCAUGUCCUCCCCGUGGAAUGCUUGGGUUUUCCCCGGGUGCUCCGGUUUUCUCCCACAGUCUAAGGAUGUAUCGAUAACGUACCUGGAACUUGUGGAUCCAACCACGACGACAGUCCAACUCAUGGAGCUGCGUUCUGACUGUAAAGAAGUCGAAGCAAUGCUGGAUUAUUUGAGCUCAACACAGCCAGUGUUGACUUUAGCACAAAGCAAAGAUUUCACUGCCCGGCUAGGACCAAAAUGAUUAUUUUACUAAGAUAUUGAUCGGUGUCAUAAAAUUCCUUUAAACACAUUGCACGAAAAAUUAGAAAAUAACAGAUACCUGUGGAAACUGAUUGAAGUGUGACGUGCAGUAGAAAGUAUGUUUUCGUAUUUACUUUAACCGAUGUAUUUACCGACCACAUGUAACAUGAUUAUUAAUAUGAUUAUUAAAAUCAGCAUAUAAUGAACAGAACGUGGAUAGAACAGAAUCGAAAACACUGGAAGUCUUUAAUAUUGGAACCUAUGAUAAAUGGCAGCGCACGGGUUCUUGUAAAUGAACACGCCUGUGUAUGUGUAUAUCUGUGUGUGUGUGUGCGUGUGUGUGUGUGUGUGUGUGUGUGUGUGUGUGUGUGUGUGUGUGUGUGUGUGUGCGCGCGCGUGCGCGCGUACUUUUGACUUGUGAAAAUGUGUGCGUGGUUGUGUUUUACUAACGUUUCUCCAUUUAAAAUGAUACGUGGGAGGCACGACGGAUAAGCUCGUGCAAAAUGCUGUAAAAUUAAAAAAUAACAGCAAACACAAAAUGCUGGAGCAACUCAGCAGGUCACGCAGCACCUAUGGAAAGGAAUAAAUAAUCGACGUUUCGGGCUGAGACCCUUCAUCGGGGCAAAAAAACUUUGUAAUGCCACCUAAUUGUUGGAUGCUUUGCAAACUGACAUCAGUUUUGUUCAAAACACUGAUAUAUUAACAUUGAUAUACUAUCAUACAAUUCCAUACAAUUUGUAUUUUGAACGGUGCCUAGGAUGACGUAAAUGGGAUAUUCGCUUCCAGCACCGGAUUUGCGGAUGAUGUAAUUCAAAUCUUUAUUUUCAUUUUUUAAAAUGAAUUGAGUCUUUGGUGUUUUCAUUUCUACGAUAUUUACACGUCAGCCUAAAUAAGCGCAGAUCAAGACGCGAGCUAACAAACGUAUAUCUUACUCAACAAUGAUGCCAGCCAAGAGAUUGAAUGAAACAGAUAAGAGAGGACUGUCCCUCAGUUAGAAUUUCAUACCAGCUCCAGAAUUCUACCUAAUAGGAGUACAACUAUAUUAAUUAAGCGCAGCCCAAGUUAAGUUAAUGUAGCUGAACUUCAUGAGGUCAAAAUUGAUAACCAUCACCCAUUUAGCAGCUUUAUUUUAAGCUGUUUGAUAUGUCGGGAAAGGUAAUUUUAAUUUUAACAAUUGAAAUUAUUUCACGCCUCCCACUCUUAUAAGAUACGUUACCGAAUUACGUAUUGCAAGUUUAAAUAAGAAAGUUGCCAGAUUAGUCGAACAUUUCGUAAUUAAAUUAAUAGGGACUACAAUAGCAACAUUAUAAUGGGAUUUCGAGAUCCAGCAUAUUGUGUUAACAUUUUCAAUUGCGGCUAUGUUUUUUGAACGUCCAUUGUGGUUAAGUGGCCCUAUUUAAUGAAGCAAUUAUAUCUGAUCUCAUUCAGCUGAUGUAGGGAAUUCAAUCAGGCCCAUAGAAACUAACCCGAUUAUCACCUGAAUCUCAAAGGUUCAGAUACUGUGCGUGUACCAAAAUAUAAAGAUUUUCAUUCCAAUAUAACCAUCUUUUCUAAAUGCGGUGGAAUAGCAUUAAUAUGCUUUUCAUAUUUCCACUCAUGCAAGCAUGAAAAUAUUAGCAGACGUAGCGUAUCAAUUGCGUAGCUUCUUGGGAGAGCAAAUGUUAAACCGUGCUUAUAUAACCGUGAAUUAAUACGGAGCAUAACUGUCAGUCAACACUAACUGGCUCUCUAUAUUUAUGCAAGUUAAACAUUCCCUUUAAAUGUCCUUUACACUGAAAGAGGGGUAACGCUUUCUCUGAUUGGGAAACCUUCGCCAUUAAAAAAAACAGAACCAAAGACAAGAGAGAGCAGACUGACCAACCCUUUACCUGGCGCCAAACUGCUUAGUUGCAACAGCACCGUGACAGAAAAAAUAAGGAUCGACACAGAAAACCCUUGUAACACUAAUUCCAAAAAAAACCCCACACAAAACCUCUUACCUAUGGAAAAACACAAGGUUAUUCGACCAAAAAUUCUCGGCAUCAGACUAUUGAGGUGACCCCGUCCAUUUUUAGUGCAAGAUACGCGGUUCCAUCAGUCACCCCGAAAGCUGGGAUUAUUUGGCCUGGUAUCAACCGGUUAGCACCGUCUGACAGUAUGAUUUACAAGAAAAAAUGAAAUUAGGAAACA